GCCCGGCUGCGACCUGCGGCCGCCGAGGUACCCCGGCCCUGCUUCCGCUCAGCCGGCAGGGAGCGGCCCGGGGAGGGGGCGGAAAGAAGUCACUCCCCUUCUAAAAGGUGGUGGUGUCCCCCUCCGGCUUUCGUGAGCUCCUCAGUGCCCACACCUGAACCCGGCUUACUGAUCCCUGCCCUUGCUUCUCCUUGACUUGGUUUGAAUUGGAGGGGCAAUACAAGCGUUUUAAUUGAAAUAAGCAGCUCAGGAGUAUUUUAUUGGCGCUCCAGAGCACUGUGUGUCUGUCCCGUCCCCUCCGCCCCCAGCAAUAAACGCAGAGUGGGUGAGUGAAAGGAAGGUGCAGUCCACAUUUCAGGAUUUUUCCUGGACCCUUCCUCCAGUCUGCUGUCCAUCCUGUCAUCGCCUAUGAAACUGUAUGCUAAAGUCUGUCAUUUCUUGUGCAUGAAAAAUGAGCUGGGCAGUACAGCCUGUGAAGAGGAUUUGGCACUUGGAAGAAACCCAACACAUAGCAUGAGAAAGUGGCUUCCUACUUAUAAGGACCCUAUCACAGGCAAUGGCAGUGCUACCAUCCCAGUAAUACAGACUUGGAUAUCUGUGCCUAACACCAUUAACCAUCAUCUGAAUCAGGCUGUUGGGGCACCUAUCUUCCCAUGAGCAUGGCUGAACCAUUACAUCAUCUGGGAUUUUGUGACCUUGCAAAGUGGAUGUUCUACUUGCAUGAGGAAGGUCCCAUUAAAUCCAAACCAAGAUAGCAUAUGUUUAAAAGAUAAGUGUUUGAGAACUAAUGCUUUUAUCUUACUAAGCUGUGCUCUGAGAUUAAUGUUUAACAUCUUAUAGUUCUAUGAUGCAUGUUUGAUUAUGACUCAAUAAUGACAUUUGAACUAUCCAUACGGUGCAAACUUGAAGUCCACUGUAAAAGAGAAAUAAAAUACAAUGAAAAUAGAAACAAACAAAUAAAAAGUUACUCUAAGUGUCUUAGAGGUUCCCUUUUCAUAUUGUAAUGUGCAGUAGUACAGAGAACAGCAUGGCAAGAAGACCAGUGGGUAUUUUGGUUAGUUCCUGGUACAACUAAGGAAACCACAAAACCACAUCAAUCUCUAGUUGACUCAACCAGUUACAACAUAAAACAUUUCUGAUUUUGUUUCUAGAACUGCAAACCACAGGAAUAAAGAAGGUUUAGCUUAUUUUCAGCAAUCAACUUAGAUUGCUUUCAGAACCUCAUUGACAUUUAAAGUAAAUGUCUCAGUGCUGUUCUUGGGUGUGACAUGAAGCAAGCCACGCAAGCACUGGUACCGUGUGUGCCUCAGGAGCUGUGAAAAUUUAAUUCUGACUAUUUUUUAAAAUUACUUCUGAUUCCUGCAAGAAUCAACAUAUCUCCUUGCCAUAUUUUAUGUCAUGCUACAUAGGGAAAAGAUGGUUAUCAGUGCAUUUAAAUAAUCAAGUUUUAUUUUCCUGUAUCAACUGCUUCACAAAAUAGACAGUGAGUAAUACAAAUUGGGGGAAAAGAUUGUUCUCUGUUCUCAGUAGUUGUUAAGUGACUAUGUAUAGCAGGGCUGAUGACUACUGAUCUGGAGAUAAUGUUGUUUUCUUUGCUUAAAAGGUGUACCAUUACCUUAUGCCUAUGCUUCUUACCCAGUGGCAUGCAGCAGAUACAGCCAAGCAUGCAUCAAUCCCACUGGUUUGGAAUGCUGCUGAGUUAAGGAACCAGUAUCUCAGCCCAUCAUCUGACAGGUUAAAUUCUGUGGUUAUGUCCAGCCAAGCCUCUGAAUGACAGUGCUGACUGCAGAGGGCAUCCUGAGAGUUUUCAUAGCAGUGUCCAAAAAGCCAUCCAAAAGUCAAAGCAGCUAUGCAAGAUUCUCUAGGAUCCCUAGAGCAGGGUGGAUAGGCUCCAUUUCUCCCAAUCACUGGAGGACUGUGCACUGAAAGUAAGGCUGACCCAUUUAGAAAGUUUGCCCCUCCCCAGUAUUGAUGAUAUUGAUGAUAUAGACAACCCCUCCAUGUUCAGCUAUACUGGAUAUGCAAGCUGCCUAACAGCUGCAGCACAAUCAGAAAUCCAGGAACAUGGGAACAUAGGAAAUGUUUUCUGCAUCUAAAAAAGUCUGAACCUUGAAGCAUAAUUAAAUCUUUCUGUAAAUGAAAGGUCAAACAACGACAUUUUUCUUCGAUGCAGAUCACAGACAAAUAGCUUUUAGUUGUAAGUAUAGCAGUACUUUAAAUCAAUCACUGCAAUAUUUAAACUGAAAAUAACAUAGAAACACCUCUGUGUUUGACAUCUGUAACCAAAUGAACGCCUGGUUAUUCUUCUUGCCACAAAUUCCAUCAGUUCUUCUUUUCUCUUUCAUCUGGCUAGAAAAGAAAAGUUAUGUAGAAGUUAACUCAUUGUAUAAAAACAGUGGUCUGAUGACCCAAUACAUGUCAGGAACUGAAUUUCUUCGCCAUUUACAAAUCUUUUAGUAAUAUAAUGACGACAUCAAAUAUAUGUGCCAGAUAACUAUAUUACAACCAGUAUUGUUUGUGGAUUCAUGAUCUGGUAAAGAGGAAUAUGAGGAAAGUCACCAUAAUUUAGGGUAGCCAAAUCCAGGAAGACAUCAAAGAAUAUCAGAAAUAUUUAUUAAUAGAGGAUUACUAAUUCUGAAAUAUCUAGGGCCUUCAAUUUUUCCUAUGGGUCAAUAGGUAAGUGAUAGAGCACAAAAAAAUCAGUUCUUAGGUUUGUGUGUUUACUUAGUAAGGGACUGUCUGAAAUGGUGCCAAUCUGAAGGAUGUCUAUGACCUGUUUAAAAAUGUAGUCUGGGAUAGUCCUCCAUUUGGGCAUGAUUCCUAGGGAAACAGACCUCAUGUGGCAGACCUGCUACUCUAUCACACUCACCUCUUAAACUGUUUCAUCUUCAUUACUCAUCUAUGAGAAAUAUUUCUCAAAGUCUUGUAUUAAUCAUCUCUAGAGCAAAUAACUCAAUUUAUUCAUUGUUCA